CAUCUAUUCAACCAUGUUGGAGUAGGCUAUACGAUCUUUUUAGUUCUGACCACAUAUGCUUCUUCCUUGGUCUGUUCACCAAGUCAUGGACACUGACUUAAAAAAUGAACAAUGCUACCCCUUCAGCUGCAGGUGCAGGGUUGACAGUGACAGCAGAUGGAGCUUCUCUGACCGCUACUGAAGACACCGCUGAACAGCUUAACCAGACAAAGACAAAGUGCUAUUAUGUAGGCAUGGUUUAAAAACUAUAGCCUUUGGCUUGUCAAGUAGCCUUGCCAAAGCGUUUGUGUAAUCUCUACAAGUGGUAUGAAGCAAAUUCUAUGUAUAUAACACACACGAUGCAGAUAAUAAUUAUAUAGAAGCAGAGAAUCAACCUUGCUAGAGCGUUUGUCAAAUCUCUACUCAAGUAGCCUUGCCAAACUUUAUCUGUUGUGUUCUUUACAUGUUGUUUCAGUA